rnacentral:tRNA from 1 species
AUAUUGGUGGUUCACUGGUAGAAUUCUUGCCUUCUACGCAGGAGACUUGGCUUCGAUUUCCAAUCAAUGCA